UGAUUUCUUACGUCAGUGCCAUGUCUCCACCGUGCAGCGAGGCUGAACCUCCCUACUCCACGCAGGGCUGUUUAGAUCUCUCUGCCAUGCUGAAAUGGUCUUCGUGGACCCCAGACAACAAGAAAGCUCUCUUCUGGGUGUUCCUGUGAACCUUCUAGAACUCGCAACACCCCUCCCUUAAAGGUCUGAGGUGUGGUCCUCAGCUUGCCCUUCUUGUAGCUUGUGAUUUGCCUGUCUGCAAAUCGGAAGGUAAAGCCCUCAGGGCGGAUGAAGGAUGGAGGCUCAGAGGGCCCUUGUGAACGGAUAAGGUGGAGCCUGGCGCUGGGAGGAGAGUCUCCUCAGGGAGAAACAGCAGGCUACAUUGUUCCACAAUGAAGAUUCCUAGACAACAAGUGACUAAGCUGUAGAUUAUAUAUUUUGAUCUGAAAUGAUGGUUUCCUGCCCGCAAACCCGUGUUCUUUUGUCAGAACCAACUGCCUGGCUGGCUCCUCUUCUUCCUCGGGAUUACUAGAGCAGGGAGUGGAGGGAAGUCAUAUAAAGGAAGAAAACUUAAUACUUCAUUUUUAUUUUGUACGCUUUUGCCAACACAUUCUGUUGGGGGACAAAAAGAAUCUGGUUCACAAUUG